GCGGACAUAGCUCAACUGGUAGAGUGGCGGUCUCCAAAACCGUAGGCUGAGGGUUCGAGUCCUUCUGUCCGCG
rnacentral:tRNA from 1 species